rnacentral:ncRNA from 1 species
UAUUAUAGGUUUUUAUUUAUAAAAUUAAUAGGGAAAGAGGUUAGAAUCCUCUGCAGCCCCCGCUACUGUUAUGCUGAUGAAACUUUUGAUACCACUGUGACUUAAUAUAAGUUAUGGGAAGGAAAAGUAGUAAGAUGAAGCUAAGCCAGGAGACCUGCCUAUAAUAUAUA